rnacentral:lncRNA from 1 species
CGCGCCGAGCAACCCCAUAGCAGAUGGAAGGGAGCGCUGACCAAUCUUUAGUUUCUUCUAACUCCACAAAGGUUCGAGAAAGAGUAAAUGAACCCUGGACACCUUUUGUCUUGGUAUCUAGAAGUCACUCGGGAAAACGAAAUGGGGAUAAGGAGUGGAAUGGAGAGGAGUUCAGAUUGCCUGUUCCUCCGCGAUGUCCAGAAGGACUUAGAGGGACGAGACAGCUAGAGGUCAUUCUGUGGAUGUACCCAGCUCCAGGCCAGAGCUCAUUACCAAGAGUGUCAGCAGUGCGGGGGCUGCGUGUGGAUCUUCUCCCGGACGGGGACAAACACAUGGGCCAAACGCGCUGGCACACCAGGCAGAGCAGGCGGCCACCGCGUCCUGAGCCUCCUGGUCAUUCCCAGGGGAGAGGGUUUUGCGCCUGCUGCCUGGACCUAAGCCGGGGAAAGAAGGUCCCUUCGCCUUCAAUGAAGACGUAUCUGACAGUAGAGCAGUUGGGGGAGGGGUUUACAGCUUGUCUGAGAAGGGGCCAUCCUUUUCCAUUUGAGCUCAGACCAACAUCAUCUACUUAGAAAAGCGCGUCUGGCGAUUCCCAAGAUAACCUGCGGGUUCUACCCCCUCCCAGGAUGGGGGCUGGUGGUGGUGAGAGAGGUUACACCUUC